GAUGAACGCUAGCGGCAGGCCUAAUACAUGCAAGCCGGACGGCAAGUUGAGUAGCAAUACUUGACCUAGAGUGGCGUAAGGGUGCGUAACACGUAUGCAAUCUGCCCACAGCCGGGAGAUAGCCCUCCGAAAGGAGGAUUAAUAUCCCAUAGGAAGAUGAGAUGGCAUCAUUUUAUUUUAAACUACGGGGCUGUGGAUGAGCAUGCGGUUGAUUAGCUAGUUGCGGGGUAAAGCCCACCAAGGCGAUGAUCAAUAGGGGACCUGAGAGGGUGAUCCCCCACACUGGCACUGAGAUACGGGCCAGACUCCUACGGGAGGCA
rnacentral:rRNA from 1 species